UACGUAGGGACCGAGCGUUGUCCGGAUUCAUUGGGCGUAAAGAGCUCGUAGGCGGCUGCUCAAGUCGAAUGUGAAAACUCGAGGCUCAACCUCGAGCCUGCAUUCGAUACUGGGCGGCUAGAGUCUGGUAGGGGGAUCUGGAAUUCCUGGUGUAGCGGUGGAAUGCGCAGAUAUCAGGAGGAACACCGAUGGCGAAGGCAGGUCUCUGGGCCGCAACUGACGCUGAGGAGCGAAAGCAUGGGGAGCGAACAGG
rnacentral:rRNA from 1 species